rnacentral:rRNA from 1 species
AUGGCCGCCGCCUGCCGUUUCGCCGCGCCGCUGGGCCUCGCCCCGCUGCCUCGCAAGAGAAUCGCUUUCUCGGUGGGCUCCGCCAAGGCCGCUCCACGGGGCGUCGCGAUGAAGGCGGCAACCGGGACGUCCGGCGGCGAGGAGACGCCGGAGACCGUCGGCCCCCUCUGCUGCACCGGCGUAGGAAGGCAGAUUAUCAAGAGAGCAGAGGAGGUUUUUCUUUCAACACAAGUAAAAGAAACUUCCGAUCUCCCUUCUGACACGGAUCUAAAGAGAAAUAUGAACUUGCUGCAGCAACUUGGUAUACUUCCUUGUGGUGCUACGGCAUGGUUGAGUUUUGCACAGUCAGCACAGUCUAGUGAAGGAGCAAAGUUAAAUAUGGUUUACGAGGUUGGGGAGCUGUUUGAGCUGGGAAUUCAGCUUUCGUAUCUGCUCAUACUGCUUGGUCUGCUUGGAACUGGUACAUUUUUUGUCAUCCGCCAGGUUCUUGUCCGCAGAGAGCUCGAUCUUUCUGCGAAAGACUUGCAGGAACAAGUGAGAAGUGGUGAGGGAAGCGCUACUGAACUUUUUGAGCUUGGAGCAGUGAUGCUCCGGAGAAAGUUUUACCCUGCAGCUAUCAAAUAUCUACAGCAAGCAAUCCAAAAAUGGGACAGAGAUGAGCAAGAUCUUGCACAGGUGUACAACGCCCUCGGGGUGAGCUACAAGCGGGAGAACAAACUGGACAAGGCAAUCAAGCAAUUCGAGAAGGCCGUGGAGCUCCAACCAGGCUAUGUGACGGCGUGGAACAACCUCGGCGACGCAUAUGAGCAGCAGAAGGACCUCGCGUCGGCGCUCAGGGCGUUCGAGGAGGUAUUGCUCUUUGAUCCAAACAACAAGGUGGCAAGGCCGCGCCGAGACGACCUCAAGUCGCGCGUGGGCAUGUACAAGGGGGUGCCAGUGAAGACGACGGACAAGCGAUAG